AGAGGCAGGCAGGUCUCUGUGAGUUCGAGGCCAGCCUGGUCUACACAGUGAAUUCUAGGACAGCCAGAGAUAAAGAGAAACCCUGUCUCAAAAG
rnacentral:miRNA from 1 species